AUGAACAAAGUGAUGAGACGGCGCCAUUUUUGCGACUUAGGGUUCAAAAUAGAGAUGAUUCAGUUUCACGAAGAAACUUCUUCUUCUCCUUCUCAACAAAAAAACACGUCACGAACCUCAUCUCUUUCGAUGAUUCUCCGUCGUCUCAACUACGUGCUUCCGCCUGUUUCUACUCCAUUUUGGUUCUCCCUCAAAGAUUCGCUUUGUUCAUGGUUCAUCGUCAAGCUUCGUUUCCAAUCUUACUGCAAACGUGAUUCCUUCGAGCCUCGUCUCUAA